rnacentral:rRNA from 1 species
AACGAACGCUGGCGGCGUGCUUAACACAUGCAAGUCGUACGAGAAAAAGCUCGCAAGGGCUUGAGUAAAGUGGCGCACGGGUGAGUAACACGUGGGUAAUCUUCUUUUAAGACUGGGAUAACACCCCGAAAGGGGUGCUAAUACCGGAUAAGACCACGAGCCUAUUGGUUUGAGGUAAAAGACGGUGGCUUGUCCAUUGUCACUUAAAAAUGAGCCCGCGCACCAUUAGUUAGUUGGUAGGGUAAUGGCCUACCAAGACAAUGAUGGUUAGCUGGUCUGAGAGGAUGACCAGCCACACUGGAACUGAAACACGGUCCAGACUCCUACGGGAGGCAGCAGUGGGGAAUCUUGCGCGAUGGGGGAAACCCUGACGCAGCAACGCCGCGUGAGUGAUGAAGGCCUUCGGGUUGUAAAGCUCUGUCAGUUGGGAAGAAAUGCUUAAGUUUACUGCUUAAGCUAUGACGGUACCGACGGAGGAAGCACAGGCUAACUCUGUGCCAGCAGCCGCAGUAAGAC